rnacentral:tRNA from 1 species
GCUUUCGUGGUGUAGUGGUCAGCACGCUCGACGUGUAACCGAGAGGUCCGUGGUUCGAUUCCCGGAGAAGGCG